UACGUAGGGGGCAAGCGUUGUCCGGAAUCAUUGGGCGUAAAGAGCGUGUAGGCGGCUCGAUAAGUCUGCUGUGAAAAGUCCAGGGCUCAACCCUGGAAGGCCGGUGGAAACUGUCGGGCUAGAGUCCGGAAGAGGCGAGUGGAAUUCCCGGUGUAGCGGUGAAAUGCGCAGAUAUCAGGAAGAACACCUAUGGCGAAGGCAGCUCUCUGGGACGGUACUGACGCUGAGACGCGAAAGCGUGGGGAGCGAACAGG
rnacentral:rRNA from 1 species